rnacentral:rRNA from 1 species
GAUGAACGCUAGCGAUAGGCUUAACACAUGCAAGUCGAGGGGCAGCGAGGGUAGCAAUACCUGUCGGCGACCGGCGCACGGGUGAGUAACGCGUAUGUAACCUGCCCGCAACAGGGGGAUAACCCGGCGAAAGUCGGACUAAUACCGCAUAAAACAGGGGUCCCGCAUGGGAAUAUUUGUUAAAGAUUUAUCGGUUGCGGAUGGGCAUGCGUACCAUUAGGUAGUUGGUGAGGUAACGGCUCACCAAGCCUUCGAUGGUUAGGGGUUCUGAGAGGAAGGUCCCCCACACUGGUACUGAGACACGGACCAGACUCCUACGGGAGGCAGCAGUGAGGAAUAUUGGUCAAUGGGCGAGAGCCUGAACCAGCCAAGUCGCGUGAAGGAUGACUGCCCUAUGGGUUGUAAACUUCUUUUACAAGGGAAUAAAAUGAGAUACGUGUAUUUUAUUGCAUGUACCUUGGGAAUAAGCAUCGGCUAACUCCGUG